UAACGUAGGGCGCAAGCGUUGUCCGGAAUUAUUGGCGUAAAGAGCUCGUAGGCGGCUUGUCACGUCGGGUGUGAAAGCCCGGGGCUUAACCCCGGGUCUGCAUUCGAUACGGGCAGGCUAGAGUGUGGUAGGGGAGAUCGGAAUUCCUGGUGUAGCGGUGAAAUGCGCAGAUAUCAGGAGGAACACCGGUGGCGAAGGCGGAUCUCUGGGCCAUUACUGACGCUGAGGAGCGAAAGCGUGGGGAGCGAACAGG
rnacentral:rRNA from 1 species